UUCGAUCAGUUUCUCCGUGACUCUUCGCAAGUGUAGAUCGCAGAAGAAAGAGUGCAACAGGUUUUUUUUGUCAUAUAACCACUAAAAAUUCCUCCACACACAAAAGAGAUUUUGUCGCAACAUCACGCCUUCCUUUGGGAUUACACACAAAAGAGAAAAAAAAUCUCAUCAAUUUGGGUUUGGAAAAGCGUUGGGAAAAGGGAUUUUUGUGCGUAGUAAAUUGUGUGAAGAAGUGCUUUGGAAGUGGGCGAGGUUUUUUUGUAUGCUGGUAAAAAGCGAGCAAUAGGAGAGAAAAAUCUUAGCGUGAGGUGUCGCGCAGAAUCUGACAGAUGAGGAUCAUCUUUUCCGGAUGAUUUUUCACACAAAACCUUCAAGGCAAUCUCCAAGGAACACUGACAGUGUUGGGCACACAAAGGAGCUGGUGGAGAUUCAUUGUGAACCUGAGAAUUUUCCGUGAAAACUGAGGUCGUUUUCCUUCCCCGCAAACAUCCAUUUGGUCACACAACAUCACACGCACACAUAGCCAGCUGAAAAAAAAAGUCUCUUCCCGAGAAAUCUUCUGGGCCAGGCAGAGAAAGGCGCGACACAGAAAAGAGAAGACGAAGAAGUUUUAAAGUCUCUGCUGAAGUGUCUGCGACAAGUGCACGACGUCCGGGAAUUUUUGUCACGAGAAAGUUGCAGUUAAUGCCUCUCCGGAACGCCUGAGAGUGGCAGAAAAUCUCACACACACAGUAGACGCGUACCAGGCGAAGAUUUCUCAAUUUGUGUGGCAUAAGGAAGCAAAAUCAGGCAAAAUCGCCCAGCUAAAGAGAAGAAAAAUCGACACAAUGAGUGCUGAUAACAACAACACGCAGCAAAGUACGCAGAGUAUAGCUGAUUACUUGGCACAGCUGCUCAAAGACAGAAAGCAACUUGCUGCCUUCCCCAAUGUCUUCAAUCACGUGGAACGACUCCUGGAUGAAGAAAUUGCAAAAGUCAGAGCGUCGCUGUUUCAAAUUAAUGGCGUGAAGAAGGAACCACUAGAACUUCCGGAAGCCGAUGGACCACCAAUGACCCUCAAUGAAAAAGUCUAUGUGCCAGUCAAAGAACAUCCAGAUUUCAAUUUUGUGGGCCGAAUUUUGGGACCACGUGGCAUGACAGCAAAGCAGUUGGAACAGGAGACAGGAUGCAAAAUUAUGGUCAGAGGAAAAGGAUCAAUGAGGGAUAAGAAGAAGGAGGAUGCAAACCGUGGAAAACCGAAUUGGGAACAUCUCUCCGAUGACUUGCACGUCUUGAUUACCGUGGAAGAUUCGGAAAAUCGUGCCAAAAUUAAAUUGCAACGAGCAGUUGAGGAAGUUGAAAAACUCUUAGUGCCACAAGCCGAAGGCGAGGAUGAGCUCAAGAAGCGUCAAUUGAUGGAACUUGCCAUCAUUAAUGGCACAUACAGAGACUCCAGUGCCAAGACAACAGUUGCAGCUGCUGAAGAAGAAUGGCGUCGUCUGGCUGCGAGUGCUGCUGAAACGCGUCUUCUAUCACCAGCCAUGCCGGGUCUUACGGCCCAACAGCUCCGAACACCGGCCACCCCCUUGGGCGCCCCAUUGAUCCUCUCGCCGAGGAUGUCAGUACCCACGACAGCUGCGAGUAUCCUGUCUGGGUCUGCACCCCCAACAAUUGAUCAUCCUGGCUUAAUCUAUGCCACACCCUAUGGGGACUACACAAACUACGCCCUAGCUGCUGGGAAUCCACUCCUCACGGAAUACGCCGAUCACAGUGUUGGUCGUUUUUUGCAUGCUGGCUCCGUGUUUUAAAUUUAUUCUUCGAUAUAAAAAAAAACACAAAUACAAAAAAAAAACCAUAAUUCUGUAUAUUUUUUUUUUAUAAAAAGAGUGAAGAUUCAACACAUUCAAAGGAAUUCUUUUUUAUGUCGAAAGAUAAAGAAUGAAAAAGAUGUUUUUAAAAGUUUUUUUUACAACACAGAAUUGCACUUUUGUGACUUAAAUUUUAUUUGUCUAUCAAUUCUUUUUUUAUUAUUUUAUUCUCUAUAUUCUUUAUUAUAUAUAUUAUAUAUUUUUUAUAUUAAUUUUCUCCAUAGUUUUAUCAUAAUUCUGUGUUUUCCCAGUAAAAAUACUCAUUUUUUGCGUCAGUAUAAUCAUGUUUUUUUUUUAAAGAUCUUUUUAUUUUUGCAACUGAUGUGUGUGUGAGAAAGAAUUUCUUUUCAAAACAGAAAUAAAAUAAGAAAAAAAGGCAAUUUUGUGAAAGGAAAUGUAGAAGUAAAGGACAAGAAUGUGAAGCUACACACGAUAAACAAAGAAAUUUAUUUUAGUAGAAGGUUGAAAACAAAAAAAAAGAAAUGCCAUAAAAGCCAUAUAUUAUAAAAGUAAAAUGAAAAAAAUAUUAUUUACAAAGUAUAUAGAAAUGAAAGAAAAAAUACCUUAGCUAUAAAGAAAAAAAUAUUAAAAUUAGCGUCGAGUAAAAAAAAAAGCAAAAACAAGUCAAAAAAUACUUAAAGUAAUUUUUUCUUUUAGUUUAAAACGACGUUUUAGGAAUAUUUUGUAAAUAUUUUCUUUCUAGGAUAAUGUUAGGGAUAAAAUUAUAAAUACUAUGAAAGAACAAAAUGAAUCCAUUGAGUUUGAAGUUAGUCAGAAAUGGUUAAAUAAAGAUCUCUCUUUCCCACGAUUGAGGGAAAGUGAGGUCUUUUAAUAUAGAAUAAAAGAAAGGAUCCAUAUUCUAUAUAGAAUCAGUGAGCCAUUUUAAAAUGUUUAGGAAUCUUAUGGAAUUUUUUAUAAGGAUAAAUUAGACUAUUAGGUGAAGGUUGAAAUUUAUUUCUUAUUUAUCCCUCUAUUCUUCUUUAUUUGAAGUUUUUUCAACAAAAAACUUUUAAGAAAAAUUAGCUCUCUCACUAUAGACUAUUAUUGGCAAAUUCAAGCUUAUUUUUCUUCUUAAUUUUCUUAUACUUAAAACACCUCCCAGUAUAUAAUUUUUCAGUUCUUAAAUUUUGUAAAAAAAAAUAAAUCAGAUUUAUUUUUUGGUGCUAUAUUUUUUGCAAAGAUUUCUUUAAAAUAAUUCAACCCUUUGUGAAUAGAAGUUUAAAACUGAAAGGAUUAUUUGAUAGUCCGUCCAUGUACUAGUCAAUGUCGUUUUUUUAUUAUUUCAAAUUUUAUUUUUUUUAAUUUAAUUCUCAAUUUUUUUUAUCAGUGCGAUUUUUUUAUUAUUUUCUUAAGCUGUUUUUGCGUGGUAGUAGCUUAAAAGUCUCACAAAAAUUCCUGAAAAAAAAACAAACGUUUGUUCUUUAUAACGAACAAAUGUACGUUAUAGAGGGCUAAACAAUGUUUUCAGAGUUUUUAUUACUACAGUAAAAUCAGCUUUAUUCAGCUACUUUGCAAUACAAAUGAACAUUGCCAUUUUUGGUAUAAAUUCGCGUUUAAGGUUAAAACAGUAUUUAUAAAUAAAUAAAUAAAUAGAAAACAAAUUGUUCACAGAAUGCCAUAAAGUUUUUUUUUCUUCGAGGUUUUUUUUGUGACAAGGGACCAAUAUAAAUAGUUAAAUAAUAAAAUGAACAAAUUUAUUUUCUACGAUUAAUAGCACAUUCAAUUGAAUUAUUGCUCGAUGCUCAUUAGAACGAAUUAAUUGGGAUUUUAUUUAAUGAAUAUUUUUUCAAAGUUCUUGAUGCUAAGAAUAUUUUAUUUUUGAAAUGGAAUACUCAACGAAAAAAUACGUCAAAAGCUAUAAAGAAAAUGCUUUAAAAAUAAAUCCUAAUUGAAUUCAUUCUAUUGGGCAUCGAGUGUAAUUUCUAUUCUUAAUAAAAAACAUUUUACUACUCGUUCCCCUUAAAUAUAUCCUUAAAAAUAGUUAAGAAAAAUAUUAAAACAUUUAUAGAAGAAAACCAAACGCGAUUUACCAACAAUGGACCUCCCAAUAUUAUUUUUAAAAAAUUGUUCUUAUGUAUUUUUUUUUUUGAAUUCCAAUUUUAUUUUUCUUCUUACCUACCUAUAUUUUUAUUUGUUCAAUAGUAGCCUAUCCUUUUAUUCUAGGUACCUAUAUACCUUAUUAUAUAUCUUACAUACUUUUACCCCAUAUUUUUUCCUCUAGGAAAUAUUUUAUAUUAGUUACAAAAAAAUUGUAGAUUUGAGCAAAAGAAAAUAUGAAAUGAAGGAAGAAACAAAUAAGAAAAAUUUGAGAAUGUUUCAAAGAAGAAAAAAAAUGUGUCGAAAAAAUAUUUUUAAACCCAUGUGGUAUAUUUGCUCUUUUUCUUUUCUUGUAGUAGGCGGCCUUAAGCAGCCAAGGAGGCAUUUUCCGCCACGUGAGCAUCCCUAUCAAAGAGCUGGGGCACUUUCUUAAAGACACAAAACGCAAAAUCUCAUGCAAAUCUCUCACACACAAAAGAAAAAAACCUUUGCGCGCGCGAAAUGAAAAACAAACAAUAAAAUUGAGAUGAGAAAAAUUCACAAAAAUGCAAGAAAACUGCCCCAAACUCUCUGAAAAAAGAUUUCAAACCGAAAGGCAAGAAAGCAAGAAUGGGAGUGUGAGCGUUGUACCUACUACCAAAAAAAAAAAGAAAAAAACAUUGAACGAAAGGCCUCAAAAGUGUCUGCUAUUAAAAAGUUUUGUUGAACGUGUGCUAAUCUCCAUCCAGCCUACUACCAACUACUACCACACACCUUCUUGUUUAGAUUCUCGUGUGUAGUGUCUCAGAAAUGAAAGAAAAAAUGUCUCAGCAUCUGUUGAAUCAGCAAAAAUCAUCUUCAUCAUCAUAAUCGCGCGACGCACAAAAAAAUCAAUCAUUGCUAAAAGUUAAAGGAAUUUCAGGAGCUUUUUGGUGUGGUGUUAAAUGAAAAAAAAGAAAGAAAAGAAAUGGAAUGGAAUAAUAGCAAAGUGAGAGACAAUGUGGAAAUUCCUGGACUUCCUGGAUGGAUCAACGGACACAUUUUGAUAUCUCUAAAAAAAAAAUAUUUACAAAAAUUAAAGUUUAAAAAAAAGUGAAAUCAAAAAAUUAGUUAAGCUGGAAUUUUCAGAAAAUAUUUUUUCAAUUUAUUUUUAUUUGGAAAUCGUAAGUAGAUUUUUUUCUUUAUAUAUUUUUUUGUAUAAAAUUCUAAUCUGAAUAAUUGUGGCUCUAAUCAAAAUAUUUUUUGUUUUACACCGAAAGAAAGAAAUUUGCAAACAAAUAAGAAUUUAUUACUAGAAGAGAAAUACAAUCACGAAUAUUUACAAUUUUUAAAAAAUAUAUUAUUAAUAUUAAUUAUUUAUAUAUUAAUGAGAAGUCUUUAUAUUGGAGGAUUUUGUAGGGAGAAAGAGAAAAAAAUUAUUAAGAGCAAUUAUGUGCAAUUUCUUAAACACUUUUCUCAAAAUGUUAAUCUUUUUUUUUUUAAUUUUUCUUCCCUAUAUUGUCAAUUAUUAAUUUUUUUUUGUUUAAAUGAGAAAUCUUUUUUCAUUUAUAAUUAAUUUUAAUUAAGCACAAAAUUGAGAGAAUAAGGAAAAAGUCGAUCUUUAUCCUUGAAGAUUUUUUUUGAAAAGAAAAAUCACAAGAAAACGUUGAUUUAUUAAUGAUUAAUUCACAAGCAAUAACUAAAAAAAAAUAAAACGUUUUUUAUUGAAUAUAUAAAAAACUUGUAUAGUGGUUAAAGAAAUAUAUUUCUAACAUUUUUUUUCUUGUAAAUAAUUCAAAAAGAAAAAUUUCAAUUAUUGAAUAAAAAAAACAAGUAUUUUUAAGGAAUAUUGUGCCUUGAUUUUUUUUACAUUAUAAAAAAAAGUGUUUGGAGCUCUUGAAAAAAAAAACUAUUAAAAAAAAUUGUAAAAUAAAAAAAAACAUAGAUCUGGAAUUAGAAUAAAAUUAGAAUUAAAAUUUUUUUCACUAAUUAUUUAAAUUCUAUGUGCAAUUUUCACGUUUAUUUCUGAUAUAGAUUUAUUAAAAAAUUAUUAUUAAUUUCUCCCUCCUUCAUCACCUUUAAUGUUUUUCAAAUUCCUCUAAAGUUUUAAUUCUUUUUUCUCAAAUUUUAGUAUUUUUUUUUUUCACAAAAUGAAAUAGUGCCAGAAUAGUAAAUGAUUUUUUUAACAAUUAAACAUCUAUACAAACAGUUUAAAUAAUAAAAAUAAAAAAGUUUAUUAAAUGGGAGAUAAUAUUAAAAAAAAAAAUGAAAAAAUAACUAAAUAGAAAAUUAAUUAGUUUUUAAUAAUUAAAAUUUUAUAGAUUUUAGUGCCAUUUAUGGGGGAAUUUUGUCGUGGAGGAAGACCGGCAUAAUGCAAGGGAAAUAAAAGAAAAAAACGCGGGCAAAUUCACGACAACAAGAGAAGAAGAAAAAAUCACUGCAUUUAGCGAAUCUCACGAAUUCUAAGAAAAAAAUGAAUAAGAAAAAAAAGAAUUGCAAAGAGCAAUUUACUUAAAAAGUGCGGCAAAGUGAAGAAAAAAAUAAUGAUAUUUUCUUGAUAAAUUUAAUUUAAGUUUAAAAAAGAAUAAAAUGAUUAAUUUGUGUCUAAAAAAUUGUAAUGUGUAAAAAAACUCAUCAUGUUGUCUUCUUUUCCCCACAUUAUAAUUAUUCUAUUCUCUAAGAAUCUCAUUGAUCUAUCUAAUGUAGCCUAAUUAGACGUUACGAUCGUUUUAUUGUUAUACUCUUGAAGAAAAAAUAGCCUUUUUUUUUUAGGGGAAACUGUGGUGAAAAGUUCAAAAAGAAGAGAGCACAGUGUGAGAGAAAACUCAAUGAGAAUUAAAACGAAGAAAAAUUCCUCGUUCAAUUACAAAGAAAUAUUUAGGAAAGAGUCAGAUAUCUCAUAAAGGAUCAAAAGAGAAUAUGAAAUCGUCCAAAAAAGCCGUUUUCUCGCGUUACAGGACAUUUAAAGAGACAAAAAAAACGUGAGAAGAUAAUUACGCAAUUUCUAGCAUUUUUGGGAGAUCUCUUAUUUAUUUAUUUUUUAACUAAUUGUGCCCCAAUUCCUCGAAUGAAGAAUGGAUAAGAGUGAUUAAACUCCUUUGAAAAAAACGUUAGAAAUUCUAAUUUAGAAUCUCAUUAGGGCUCCUUCACAGAAGGGUUAAGUUUAGGGGAGAAUGGGGUGAAGUGAAUCAAGUUUGAGGAGAAGAUUUUUGUUGCAUUGUAAAGCACAGAGAAAGAAGUCGUGAAAACACCGAAAAAGCCUGACAAAUAAAAAUUAAUUUUACAACAUUUAAUUUAAAAAAAAAUUAAAACAAUUCUAAUAACAUAUUUUUGAGGUUAUGAAUUCUAACAAUUUUUUUCUGAAGAAAUAAUUUUAUUUUUGUUCCUAAUUUUGUAUGAAAUUUUUGAAUUUAUUAUCUAACUAAAGAACGUUCCCAAAUUGAGGAUUUAUCUCAGAUACUCUAUUCUUCCUAACUUGUAAAAAUGCCUUUUGUAGAAAAUGACUCCAUGGGGCUAAAUUAAUCAACUAGUUUCUGAAAGGGAUCUUAAAAGCCUUAGUAGUAACUUGAGGGCAUAUUUUAAGUAAAAACUGUAAUAGACUGUGUUCAGGCUUGAACCAUCUAAGAUCAGGCUUGCUUCAAAUAUCCUUUUAGAAGUUUCAAAUACAAUUUAACAUUCAGAGCAGAGGACAUGAAUUUCUAAUCUCAAACUUUGAGCUUAAUUUUUUAUCAUAAAGAAAAGGUUUUUCCACAUUUUCUUUCAACAAACUUGUAGUAAUUGGAGUUCUAUUAUCAAGAUAAGUUAGAUAGAUUUUAUCCUAUGACGAUUAAAAAAAGUUUAAUUGGCCGCAAUUACCAGUUUUGUCCUCCAAGUGUUAAAAUUAUUCUUUUUUUUUUCACUAGAAAAUCGCGAAAAUCGAAUCUCAAACGAAUUACUUACUUUGAGUUUUCUCCAUUGCUGCCCUUGCUUUCCCUACAAUCCCCUUGAAAUCCUUCCUUCCUCCCUUUUGUGUACUUAACUUUCUUUAUUAUCUCCUUGCCCAUUUCCUUUUAUAUUUCUUCAUCUCUCUUUAGUCAUAUUUUCCUCACACACCACACAUUUUUUAGGCGAUAUAAUUUAACAUUUAUUUUGUUAGUUUAAAAUGCAAAAAUGAAAGAAAAAUUACGCAAUACUCUUUAGGAAGUAAAAUGAAGAAGAAAAAAGUGUAGAAAAUGAAGAAUUUUCAUUUAUUAGUGGGGCACACACCCCGCCCAGCCUCCAUAAAAAUCACGGCAAAAGUACAAUCGAGGCGCGCGGCAUGAAAGUAAAAGAAAAGAAAGAAAAAAUAGAUUUUAGAAGAGAUUUUUUUUGUCAAACUUUUUAUUCAAAGUCUGGAGAAAUAAAGAACAAGAAUAAAAAAAA